rnacentral:lncRNA from 1 species
UCAAACUCAUAGUAUAACAUAAGGCUCUUAAUUCGUGUUGAAUUUGAUUUCGAAAUCAAAAUCGGUACACAAUUUUAACCUGAAUUCGAACUUGGCAAAUUUGGUUGAUGAUCGAAUUAAAAUUACAACCGAAUUCAGUGACUAAAAUGAAAAUUCCCAGAAACCUCUUCUCUCUAGUCUGUUCCAUGAGAUCCUCUUCUUCUUCCUCGACCAUUUCCAAAACCCCCAAAUCCAAUUUCAUAACAACCCUAGCAGAGCAGCAAUCGAAUCGCGAUCGUGAUUCCCCGAUGGCAGGUGGCAAGCGGGAAGCUUCAGUCCGACUCUUCUCCUUCAUCUCUGAUUCAUCUGAUCAUCUCUACUCCUCAUCCCGUCCUCCGUCGAAAGUCGAACCCAUUCAUCUCCUUCUCUUGCCUCUCUUCUUCGUCUCUUUCAUCCAUAUCCUUUGAAACUGUGCUUAGCCACCCAUCAACCAUCUCCAUCGGCCAUCUCCUUCUCAUGUCUCUCCUCUUCAUCUCUUUCAUCCAUAACCGAACAAGGUCAAUAGAGCAGCAACAGCAACAAUAGUUCUCACAUGAUGAACUACUCAAGCUCAACCCUCACCUAAAUCGGUCUGGAAUUCGGUUAGGUCAUGUA